AGAGACUUUUGCAGAAAGCUGAGAAGCUACGGUCUGGACGCUCCCCCUCAAGUGGUCCUUCUAGAUCCGGCUGUUGGCCUAAAUGUGCCAGAACUGAGGUUGGCUUGGCCUGCUGGGGCUGCGUUGCUGCCUCUCCAGUUUAGCAUCGAUCGACUUCACCUUGCUGAGAGUCAAGUGCCCUUUUCUCCAUCAUGAUACCCUGGAUUUAUCGUAAACAUGUCUUUUCAUAGCAGCAACAACAGCAAAAGCACACGGUAAUUCCGAUCGCAGCCACUUUGUUUCUGGAAGCCUGCCAGUUAAUUUCUGUGGCCAGCCUUUCCUCCUUCACUGGCAGUUGGCCAAGUGAUUGCACAACAUCAUGAGACUGACCAGAAGAAUCCCUGGUCAGAUUUCAUUUUGAAGGGUUGGGUGAAGCCUGGGAGGACGAAGCAGUAAAGACUGAAGAGCAGGAGGAGCCAACCCUUGGGACCUCAUCUUUAACUGAUUUGUGUUGUUCUAGAACAAUAACCUGUUGCGGUAGAGGUCCCGUGAAUAUGCUAUAGGGUAGCCUUUACUCAUUUCUUAUUGACCUGUGUCUAAGAACUAUAAAUCUAGAUUCUUUUAAAAAAGUGUAU